UACGUAGGAUGCAAGCGUUGUCCGGAAUUAUUGGGCGUAAAGAGCGCGCAGGCGGUAACUCAAGUCAGAUGUGAAAUAUCCGGGCUUAACCCGGAGGGGUCAUUUGAAACUGAGUAACUAGAGUACAGCAGAGGAUAGCGGAAUUCCCGGUGUAGUGGUGAAAUGCGUAGAUAUCGGGAGGAACACCAGUGGCGAAGGCGGCUAUCUGGGCUGAAACUGACGCUGAGGCGCGAAGGCUAGGGGAGCAAACAGGAUUAGAUACCCUGGUAGUCCUAGCAGUAAACGAUGGAUACUAGGUGUUGGGGGAAAUUGACCCCCUCAGUGCCGCAGUUAACACAAUAAGUAUCCCGCCUGGGGAGUACGGUCGCAAGAUUAAA
rnacentral:rRNA from 1 species